rnacentral:rRNA from 1 species
UACGGGGGGGGCAAGCGUUGUUCGGAAUUACUGGGCGUAAAGGGCUCGUAGGCGGCCAACUAAGUCCGACGUGAAAUCCCCAGGCUUAACCUGGGAACUGCGUCGGAUACUGGAUGGCUUGAAUUCGGGAGAGGGAUGCAGAAUUCCAGGUGUAGCGGUGAAAUGCGUAGAUAUCUGGAGGAAUACCGGUGGCGAAGGCGGCAUCCUGGACCGACAUUGACGCUGAUGAGCGAAAGCUUGGGGAGCAAACGGG